GCCUUCGUGGUGUAGAGGUCAGGACGCUUGGCGUAUUCGAGAAGUCCGCGGUUCGAGUCCCGGCGAGGGCA
rnacentral:tRNA from 1 species